CCUACGGGAGGCAGCAGUGGGGAAUUUUGGACAAUGGGGGCAACCCUGAUCCAGCCAUGCCGCGUGCGGGAAGAAGGCCUUCGGGUUGUAAACCGCUUUUGUCAGGGAAGAAAUGUCCUGGGUUAAUACCCUGGGGGGAUGACGGUACCUGAAGAAUAAGCACCGGCUAACUACGUGCCAGCAGCCGCGGUAAU
rnacentral:rRNA from 1 species